GACGAACGCUGGCGGCGUGCCUAAUACAUGCAAGUAGAACGCUGAAGGAGGAGCUUGCUUCUCUGGAUGAGUUGCGAACGGGUGAGUAACGCGUAGGUAACCUGCCUGGUAGCGGGGGAUAACUAUUGGAAACGAUAGCUAAUACCGCAUAAUAGUAGAUGUUGCAUGACAUUUGCUUAAAAGGUGCAAUUGCAUCACUACCAGAUGGACCUGCGUUGUAUUAGCUAGUUGGUGGGGUAACGGCUCACCAAGGCGACGAUACAUAGCCGACCUGAGAGGGUGAUCGGCCACACUGGGACUGAGACACGGCCCAGACUCCUACGGGAGGCAGCAGUAGGGAAUCUUCGGCAAUGGACGGAAGUCUGACCGAGCAACGCCGCGUGAGUGAAGGAGGUUUUCGGAUCGUAAAGCUCUGUUGUAAGAGAAGAACGAGUGUGAGAGUGGAAAGUUCACACUGUGACGGUAUCUUACCAGAAAGGGACGGCUAACUACGUG
rnacentral:rRNA from 1 species